UACGUAGGGUGCGAGCGUUGUCCGGAAUUAUUGGGCGUAAAGGGCUCGUAGGCGGCCAACUAAGUCGGAUGUGAAAUCCCCAAGCUUAACUUGGGAACUGCAUCCGAUACUGGAUGGCUUGAAUCCGGGAGAGGGAUGCAGAAUUCCAGGUGUAGCGGUGAAAUGCGUAGAUAUCUGGAGGAAUACCGGUGGCGAAGGCGGCAUCCUGGACCGGCAUUGACGCUGAGGAGCGAAAGCUAGGGGAGCAAACAGG
rnacentral:rRNA from 1 species